rnacentral:lncRNA from 1 species
AUUACCCAAUAUGAUCUCCAAUUUCCUAUCUCUCACUGGCGUGAUUUGUAAUUGUUUAACCACCGUGGGAGAUAAGAAAUUAUGUGUUGCACCACUGUCAAGCAUUACCACUAUCUUCAUCUGUCCAAUGUUACCCCACACCUUCGUUGUCGUUGGUGAAGAUAAUCAAAAGAAAGAAGCUAGUGAUAUCUCCAUGAGUUCUGUAACCACACCAUUUUCAUCUUCAAAAGUAUCUAUCCAUUCUUCAUUAUGUAACUCGACUUCACAACCAUCAAUCACCGUUAACACUU